rnacentral:tRNA from 2 species
GGGCCUAUAGCUCAGUUGGUUAGAGCACUGGACUCAUAAUCCAUUGGUCGAAGGUUCGAGUCCUUCUGGGCCCACCA